UACGUAGGGGGCAAGCGUUUGUCCGGAAUCAUUGGGCGUAAAGAGCGUGUAGGCGGCCCGAUUAGUCCGCUGUGAAAGUCCAGGGCUCAACCCUGGAAUGCCGGUGGAUACUGUCGGGCUAGAAUCCGGAAGAGGCGAGUGGAAUUCCUGGUGUAGCGGUGAAAUGCGCAGAUAUCAGGAGGAACACCAAUGGCGAAGGCAGCUCGCUGGGACGGUAUUGACGCUGAGACGCGAAAGCGUGGGGAGCAAACAGG
rnacentral:rRNA from 1 species